UACGUAGGUGGCAAGCGUUGUCCGGAAUGACUGGGCGUAAAGGGCGCGUAGGCGGUUUGCACAGUCAGGCGUGAAAUUCCUGGGCUUAACCUGGGGGCUGCGCUUGAUACGUGUGGACUGGAGUGCGGAAGAGGGUCGUGGAAUUCCCAGUGUAGAGGUGAAAUUCGUAGAUAUUGGGAAGAACACCGGUGGCGAAGGCGGCGACCUGGUCCGUGACUGACGCUGAGGCGCGAAAGCGUGGGGAGCAAACAGG
rnacentral:rRNA from 1 species